AUUCGGUUCACCUGCUCCAAGUUAAUCUGUCUCCUUGCUCCACCUGGUUUUCACUCCAUAUAUAUACACCUGUUCAGUUAGUCAUUGUGGAAACAUUUUUAUCUGAUCAUGUCUUUUUCACAGAUCAUGUCUUGUUUUUUGCUGAUGCCAUGCCUGUCUCGCCUGUACGUUUGUUGUUUUGUUCCUGCCUCCUGCUGGGCCGUGGAGCUGGAGGACCGAAGGUGUGACAGGUGUUCUUCAUUGACUCAUCAGUUCAGAGGACUAUAUGAGGGCGGCUCACCUGCACUUCUGCGCCUGAGUGUUUUUGCCCUUUGUGGCACCAUAGCCUUGCUCUUGGUUGGAGAUCUCAAGAAAACCUCUGAUCACAGUCUGGACUCUGGAUUCAUUCCAUGCAGCGGGCCGCCCAGGAUACCUCUCUUGUCUGGUUAAGUGAACCCUGUCCACGCUCCUACGGUUCCUCCUGGAUCAUCAAGAAGCCCCAACGGAAUCAGCACCACCUCACUGUCCUAGACUCGCAACCAUCUCCCCCCUGGCGGAUCGCCCCACCUGAAUAAUAAGCCUAACCACAGAAUUAGCAAGUCUGGUAUCCCGAUCUGAACUCACCUUGUUGUUUUCCCUUC